rnacentral:rRNA from 1 species
AACGAACGCUGGCGGCAGGCCUAAUACAUGCAAGUCGAACGGAUGUAGCAAUACAUUAGUGGCGCACGGGUGCCUAACGCGUGGGAACAUACCCUUGAGUAAGGAAUAAUGUCUGGAAACGGACACUAAUACCUUAUAAUGACUUCGGUCCAAAGAUUUAUCGCUCAAGGAUUGGCCCGCGUCUGAUUAGCUAGUUGGUGAGGUAACGGCUCACCAAGGCGACGAUCAGUAGCUGGUCUGAGAGGAUGAUCAGCCACACUGGGACUGAGACACGGCCCAGACUCCUACGGGAGGCAGCAGUAAGGAAUAUUGGACAAUGGAGGAAACUCUGAUCCAGCCAUGCCGCGUGAGUGAAGAAGGCCUUAGGGUUGUAAAGCUCUUUCAAUGGUGAAGAUAAUGACGGUAGCCAUAGAAGAAGCCCCGGCUAAAUUCGUGCCAGCAGCCGCCGUAACAC